rnacentral:lncRNA from 1 species
CCGAAGCUCCGGGAAGCCACCGAGUAGCACUACACUGCUCAUGUCCGCAGGGGCUCGGGUUGAAGGGGCUGGUACGGCAGAGGGCGUGGGCAGGAGCGGCGCGGACCCCGCAGACCGCAGCCUCAUGGGAGUCACAAGAGAAGCGCAGGCAGCCCCACCCGGUCCCAUGCGCGGGGCAGAGGAGGAAGAACAAUAAUCCGGAGGUCUCAAGUGGAGAUCCCCUGAAACUGAAGUUAUUAAUGGCUGUGAACCAUGAUGUGCAUUCUGGGAAGUGAGCCCAGGUCCUCUGCAAGAACAACAAAUGCUCUUAACCACUGAGCCACCUCUCUACUCUCUAGAAUUGUUCUUUGUUUGUUUUAAAAAUUGUACAUGUAGUAUGUAAUAGCCCAAGAACAAAAUUUUGAUCAUACAAAGUUUGAAGUUCUGACUGGCUUCUUUCAUCCUUUUUACACUUGUUCCUGUCUGUGAGAACAACUGGCUACUUUGAAGCCUGACCUAGAUUACCAAGCGUACACAUCUUAUAGCGGUGCACAUUGGAGGUAGCUCCCGGGGACUGGAGUGUUGUGGGAAAUUAUUUUAAGAUGUGUUACAUUUGUUUAUGCUGUGGAACAUUUGUUUUAAUGAUGCAAAGAUGUGUUGCAUUCUUUUAUGUUGCAUUCGUUGUGAAGCUGUGUUAAUUUGCCUGUCUAAAAACCCGAUGGUCUAAUAAAGAGCUCAACAGCCAGUAGCAAGGUAGGAGAGAGGAUAGGUGGGGCUGCCAGGCAGAUCUAAUAAAUAGGAG